rnacentral:rRNA from 1 species
AGUGAACGCUGGCGGUAGGCCUAACACAUGCAAGUCGAACGGCAGCACAGUAAGAGCUUGCUCUUACGGGUGGCGAGUGGCGGACGGGUGAGGAAUACAUCGGACUCUACUUUUUCGUGGGGGAUAACGUAGGGAAACUUACGCUAAUACCGCAUACGACCUACGGGUGAAAGCAGGGGAUAUUCGGACCUUGCGCGAUUGAAUGAGCCGAUGUCGGAUUAGCUAGUUGGCGGGGUAAAGGCCCACCAAGGCGACGAUCCGUAGCUGGUCUGAGAGGAUGAUCAGCCACACGGGAACUGAGACACGGUCCAGACUCCUACGGGAGGCAGCAGUGGGGAAUAUUGGACAAUGGGCGCAAGCCUGAUCCAGCCAUACCGCGUGGGUGAAGAAGGCCUUCGGGUUGUAAAGCCCUUUUGUUGGGAAAGAAAAUCAGCAGGUUAAUACCCCGCUGUUCUGACGGUACCCAAAGAAUAAGCACCGGCUAACUUCGUG